GAGCGGCGCACGGGUGAGUAACGCGUAGAUGAUCUACCUUGAGACGGAGAUACCUCCGGGAAAUGGAGUUAAUACCCGAUAACGCACAUUGAUUGGUUUUUGAUGUGUUAAAGCGGUGCAAGUCGCACUUGAGGAUGAGUCUGCGGCCUAUCAGCUAGUUGGUGGGGUAACGGCCUACCAAGGCGAAGACGGGUAGCUGAUCUGAGAGGAUGAUCAGCCACAUUGGGACUGAGACACGGCCCAAACUCCUACGGGAGGCAGCAGUAGGGAAUAUUGCGCAAUGGGGGGAACCCUGACGCAGCGACGCCGCGUGAAGGUGAUGACGGCCUUUUUGGUUGUAAAGCUCUGUAAAGAGGGAAAAAUGUUGCAGUGAAGAGCUGCAAUUGAUGGUACCUCUAAAGUAAGGACCGGCUAAAUACGUGCCAGCCGCCGC
rnacentral:rRNA from 1 species